GUCGGCGGAAAGAGCUCGUUAGAAAUGCCGAAGAUACAUUUUCCUAAAGGGCCAGCAAAGUUCUUAUGAUUCCUCUGGUGUUGCAAGUGUGGGAUGUGUGUCAUGUUUUUCCAGCAGUGGUAUUAACGUUAUUUCGAAAUCGUUGACAUUAAAUUCUGAACCUGCGAUUCUAUAAUUACUUAAGAGUGGGUGGGGGGCAGGAGAUUCAUAAACAGGUUCUACCUAGUUUGAGCUCCUGUCUGUAGUUUAACAUUUUAAGAAUAAUAUUUGCAUAUAACUAUAUGUCACUGCUUGUGGUGGCGACACAGGACGGGUCGCCCCCUUUCCCCUAAAUAUGGUUGAGAGAGGCGAUGGCUGGCUCAUGCGUCAUGCUCGUAAACGGGCGUUGCUUGUGGUGGCAGGAUGAUGCUGUUGGCGGAGGCUCGGCUUGAGAUUCUUAAAAGUUAUUAUAUAUUUUUUUUAUAUAAUCGCUUAUAAAAUGCUCACAGAAUACCUUUAUUUAUUAACAGUGUGUAUUGAUGAUACAGCUACUGUACUCGACAACUUUUGUUUUGUAUUAAUUUAUAUUUACUUUUAUGAUUUACUCUUGUAAGGCAUUAACUAUUUAACGCAUUAGAUUCAAUAAAAAAAAUUUUUUGUCAUUCAUAAGUGUCAUUUCCGUGACCUACAUGAAUAAAGUGAUUUUGAUUUGAUUUGAUUUGACAUACUACAUAUUAGAACAAAUAAAUGUUUUUGUAUUUAUUUAUUUUGUAUUUGUCCUAUUUACGUUUUGUUCUAGAUUCGUGUUCUUCCAUCAUUUGCCUUGAACGUUAACAGAAUCGGAGUCGCGGAUUAGCGACAUUUGAACGACAAGCUCGCACAAAGAUGCAGGGAGAUUCCAACAAUUCGUUCUUGUUACGAGAAUACGCAACAUACGAUUUCCCUAAAUCUGAAUAUAGCUUCGUCUCACUUCUUCACAAUCAGAACUGAACCGUUAAUUUGUGUUAAAAGAAUACGAAAAUUAACUUUCUGACAUAAGGUUGUUUAGAUCCAAUUCUCGUCUUGUUACGAGUCUGUUAUCUGUAUACGACCACCAUCACAGUGACAAUUUGAUUCCAGUCGAUUGCGAUACGACCCCGACCACGUCGCCCUAAGCCAUUCACCCUGAGACUGUGUAAUUAAUAAUGUCAGAUUUAAAAUAAAAUGAUUCAAUUCCAA